rnacentral:rRNA from 1 species
UACGGGGGGGGCAAGCGUUGUUCGGAAUUACUGGGCGUAAAGGGCUCGUAGGCGGCCAACUAAGUCAGACGUGAAAUCCCUCGGCUUAACCGGGGAACUGCGUCUGAUACUGGAUGGCUAGAGUUUGGGAGAGGGAUGCGGAAUUCCAGGUGUAGCGGUGAAAUGCGUAGAUAUCUGGAGGAACACCGGUGGCGAAGGCGGCAUCCUGGACCAAUACUGACGCUGAGUGAGCGAAAGCCAGGGGAGCAAACGGG